rnacentral:lncRNA from 1 species
CCUAGGGGCUGAGAGCUCGAAGGGAAAAAGUGCAUUUAUUGCUCCCUCUCUGCUCAGAGACCCUGGAGCACUGCUGAAUAGGGAGUGCCUGACAUGCUGGAGCAGGGCAGCAAGAUGUCUUCUCUGCGAGGAGCUCAGCUAUCAUCACUUCUUAACUAAUCCCACAGAGUUUCACAUUUGAUCACUGAACAUAUGUACAAGGCCUGCUGUAGGGCUUGCCCCGGUGUUCACAGCAUUUCCAAGCUCUCCACCGCCCAGCCACAGCCUCUCCAGCCUGCUCCUCCUCAAAUGUCCCUCUCGGCUCCCAGCACCUCUGGGCGGCGCACCGCGCUACUCCGCAGGCACUGAUGUCGGAGCACAGCGUUUGGCACUUGGUUAUCUGGCCCGCAGGAUGACGGUUUAAAAACUGAACAAACAUCCCAA